UGUAGCUCAGUAGCAGACAAUCAAUUGUAUAGACAUGACCGAGAAUUGAGUCCGAUCAUAUUACGUCUAAUUGAUUCUCGGGUAUUUUCUCUUCUUUAUUGCUACCUUUCUUACUCGCUGUGGAUAUGACAGCUGCCUUUACAAAUUAUAGUCCGUGCGACACGCUAUAUUAGGUUAUUAAGUUUUCGGUGUUUUUCCAUCCG